rnacentral:rRNA from 1 species
CCCUAUGGGGUGCAGCAGGCGCGAAAACUUUACAAUGCCGGCAACGGCGAUAAGGGGACCUCGAGUGCCAGGUUACAAAUCUGGCUGUCGUGAUGCCUAAAAAGCAUUGCAUAGCAAGGGCCGGGCAAGACCGGUGCCAGCCGCCGCGGUAACACCGGCGGCUCGAGUGGUAACCGUUAUUAUUGGGUCUAAAGGGUCUGUAGCCGGCCGGAUAAGUCUCUUGAGAAAUCCAGCAGCUCAACUGUUGGGCUUUCAGGAGAUACUGUCUGGCUCGAGGCCGGGAGAGGUGAGAGGUACUUCAGGGGUAGGGGUGAAAUCUUGUAAUCCUUGAAGGACCACCAGUGGCGAAGGCGUCUCACCAGAACGGACCUGACGGCAAGGGACGAAAGCUAGGGGCACGAACCGG